rnacentral:rRNA from 1 species
CCCUUAGAUGUCCGGGGCCGCACGCGCGCUACACUGAAGGAAUCAGCGUGGAUGCCUCCCUGGUCCGAAAGGAUUGGGAAACCCGUUGAAUCUCCUUCGUGCUAGGGAUUGGGGCUUGUAAUUCUUCCCCAUGAACGAGGAAUACCUUGUAAGCGCGGGUCAUCAUCCCGCGCUGAAUACGUCCCUGCCCUUUGUACACACCGCCCGUCGCUCCUACCGAUUGAGUGGUCCGGUGAGGCUUUGGGAUCUGAGCGGAAAGAGCGUUUCGCUGUUUCUGCUCGGAAAACUCAGUCGAACCUUAUCAUUUAGAGGAAGGAGAAGUCGUAACA